GAACGGCAGACUAUUGUGGCUGGUGACUCUAAAGUGUAAGCUCACACAUUCAUUCAGAUAUUACUCCUACUAGUGUUGGUGACUCCUCGGAUAUAUUUUACAGUUUCCUGUUGUCCAGCAUCUCUCCUCUAUCCCAUUGGCUCUCUGUCUAUCCUAUACCUUGUAUCCACUCUGUCUACAAUUU